rnacentral:rRNA from 1 species
AUGAACGCUGGCGGCGUGCCUAAUACAUGCAAGUCGAACGAAUCUCUUUUAGAGAUGAGUGGCGAACGGGUGAGUAAUACAUAGGUAACCUGCCCCUGUGCGGGGGAUAACAGGAGGAAACUCCUGCUAAUACCGCAUAGCCAUGAGCACCGCAUGGAGCUCAUGCCAAAUAUCCUUUCGGGGAUAGCGCAGGGAUGGACCUAUGGCGCAUUAGCUUGUUGGCGGGGCAACGGCCCACCAAGGCAACGAUGCGUAGCCGGCCUGAGAGGGCGGACGGCCACAUUGGGACUGAGACACGGCCCAGACUCCUACGGGAGGCAGCAGUAGGGAAUUUUCGGCAAUGGGGGAAACCCUGACCGAGCAACGCCGCGUGAGCGAAGAAGGCCUUCGGGUCGUAAAGCUCUGUUGUAAAGGAAGAACGGCGCAUACAGGAAAUGGUAUGCGAGUGACGGUACUUUACCAGAAAGCCACGGCUAACUACGUGCCAGCAGCCGCGGUAAUACGUAGGUGGCGAGCGUUAUCCGGAAUCAUUGGGCGUAAAGAGGGAGCAGGCGGCCGCAAGGGUCUGUGGUGAAAGACCGAAGCUAAACUUCGGUAAGCCAUGGAAACCGGGCGGCUAGAGUGCGGAAGAGGAUCGUGGAAUUCCAUGUGUAGCGGUGAAAUGCGUAGAUAUAUGGAGGAACACCAGUGGCGAAGGCGACGGUCUGGGCCGCAACUGACGCUCAUUCCCGAAAGCGUGGGGAGCAAAUAGGAUUAGAUACCCUAGUAGUCCACGCCGUAAACGAUGGUCACUAAGUGUCGGGGGUCAAACCCCGGUGCUGCAGUCAACGCAAUAAGUGACCCGCCUGAGUAGUACGUUCGCAAGAAUGAAACUCAAAGGAAUUGACGGAAG